AAGAGACCGAACAAGAAGGCUGGGAAGUUGAAGACCCAUCAGUUCACUGGCGCGCGUUCAUGUGAGAAGGGACCUGUGUUCCAAAAUGUUUUUCAAGACACAGGAACCAUCCGGUUGGAAUAUUACUGAAGUUUCACGUUCUAAAGGCCCUAAAGAUUGAUGCUUUACAACGUUUGACAUGUUUGAACGAACGUAAAUAGAUUUUUUUUUAAACUUUUCUUUUUGGCGUGCUUCCAACAUUUGGAGUAGCUGAACUGAACGUGCGAACAACAAGGAGCUAUUUGGACAUAAAUUAUGGAGUUUAUCGAACAAAACAAGAUUUAUUGUGGACCUGGGAUCCCUGGAAGUGCCUUCUGAUGAAGAUUAUUAAAGACAAUCACGGACUACAACGGGAAAACCAGCCAAGUCGCAGACACCAACUUUUUGCUUCUGGACUAGCUACACUCCUUCUUCACCCGCUUUGAGGAUAACACAGUGCCACAGAAGCAGCCAACUACCAAGGCCCUCCUUUGCCGUGGCCGACUCUGCUGUCCCCACUUUCUUCAAGAUGACCACCAUUGUUCCUGUAACCUAGAAAGCAAAGAACCACAGACGAUGCCAUCGCCAUCGCACUGCACACUGCCCUAUCCCAUCU
rnacentral:lncRNA from 1 species